CGGGGGGGGGGGGCACGGGGGGCCUACGGGAGGCAGCAGUAAGGAAUAUUGGACAAUGGAGGCAACUCUGAUCCAGCCAUGCCGCGUGAAGGAUGAAGGCGCUUAGCGUUGUAAACUUCUUUUGGAUAGGAACAAAACACCCGAUGCGUC
rnacentral:rRNA from 1 species